GGGUUGUGAGGUUAAGCGACUAAGCGUACACGGUGGAUGCCCUGGCAGUCAGAGGCGAUGAAGGACGUGCUAAUCUGCGAUAAGCGUCGGUAAGGUGAUAUGAACCGUUAUAACCGGCGAUUUCCGAAUGGGGAAACCCAGUGUGAUUCGUCACACUAUCAUUAACUGAAUCCAUAGGUUAAUGAGGCGAACCGGGGGAACUGAAACAUCUAAGUACCCCGAGGAAAAGAAAUCAACCGAG
rnacentral:rRNA from 1 species